CAACUGGGUUUCCAAGGAAACCAGAAAGCCCAAUUUAUAAAACUAUGAAACAAAGCAACUGUAAAGGCAACACUAGACACAGAAGAGUUGGAUGGAUGAGUCAUUUCCCCCAGACUGACGGCAUCAUGAAGGCCUGAAGGUGUCACCAACUCCUCUCCUGCAACAUCAGCUGAACAGAUACAGUCCUCGCUUAGACCACCCUCAGAGAGCACAGUUUGUAAACCUUAUGAAAAUGGAAGUUGUAGAAAGCACUAAAAGUUGCUAAAAUACUUUCAUAUGAAAAAGACUCAAAUCCACCCACUGGAUUAGACAAAAACCUGAGCUGAAUGAGCCCCAGCUAUCUACCUAGAAUUUUGUCUUCAUUCCUCAUUUGUCUUCCUUGCUCCCGGUGGAGAGAAGGGGAUAUACAAACAGAUGGCUGCAGUUAGAAAAAGGCAAUAGUUGCCUCAGAAACCCAGCUCCUGGUCCCUCCUCAGUUCAACUCCAGUUCCCACUUUGGUAGAUCAGCCUGUGGAACAAAUGGGAUGGCAUUCACUACCCAAUGAUAAUUAAAAUUUAAAUGGCUAUAAGAAAACAAGUCCUCUACUGUUUAUUGGUGCCCAUACAAUCAUCAAAACAUAGGUACUGUAAAUCUUACAAAUGUGACUCAAAAAGAUUGAAAGUGGAAUAGAUUCUAAGAAACAAGCAAUUGUAUUAUUCACAUUCCAGCUGAUCUGUAUCGCCAAAUAACAAAUAAAUCCUCCAAGGAAUUCCUCCAGGAACAAUCUUUUUCCUUGAGUUUUCCCAUUCAUUUUUUUAAAAAUUUCAACAAAUAUUUAUGGAAGACCCACUUUGUGACAUCCACUGUGGUGUAGGUGCUUAGUAGGGGCUUGCUACCCCUACCAUUGGUCUUCCAUUCUAAGCUAGGAAGAGAAAACUUUUUUCUUUAAGAAACAUUCUAUUAAACACAGGAUUAGUGAUAUAUGAAUAUAUAUCCUCCAAGUCAACAGGUUCAUUUCCUCCUGGAUUUCUCUAAGUUACUUUGCUGUUGCUAUUUUUAUAACAUAAUUAGAAUGUGCUAGAAAAAUAAUAGAAAUCGGUCAAAUUGAUACUUUCCUUUCUCAAACAACUUUUUAUCAAAAGGAAGAAAACUAAAUGUAUUUGUCUCUUGGCUAUUAAAAAUACAUUGGAGCAAACAGACACUUAGGAUUAGAUUAUCACAAAGGAAAAGUCAAAUAAUUCCUGAGGCAUUCAAAAACAUGCAGAAAUGUCAGUAAACAUCCUUGAAUGAUUUUUCCCCGCCCUGGCAGAAUGAAAAGGUAAGGAAAAACACUAGAUGCAAGAAUCAGCAGACAGACAGUAGCUCGGUUUGUCUUCCAUUUCCCUUAUCCCCAGACAGUUCAUGAUUCUCGGUUUUAGAAACUGGACCACAGGGACGACAGCUGAGUGUCUGAUUUUUCAAAUGACUGACGUACAAUCACCGGGCACAUAGGGGUCAAACCUUGCAGCUAUUUCAAAAACACUUAUGUAUAAUCUGAUGAAAAGAAAUAGCUAAACAGAAAAGAUAUAAACAAAUUUGAAGUUUGGGAAGUCUUGUUGAAGAAUCACUAAACUGACAGCACAGAAGAGAAAGGAACUGAAUUAUAAAGGAGGGGGACAAAAGCCCAGAUCUGGAAAUAAUCAUUCUAUUUCAAGAUUUGUCCUGAAGAACUGUACUUUACAAGAAGUUAAUUACACUUGUGAAAGCUACAAUCAUUCUGCCAUUAUCUAUACUCCCACUAAAUCUCUAUUAGAAAGACUACCAACAAGGGAUCCAUAUGUCACAUUAAGAGAAAAAGACAAAACCAAGCAAGUUUGUAAAAACUGAUGAAAGAACAACAAACCAAUGCAAAUGGCCUUCGCUACUGGUUAUAUGGCACCCAUUUUAGCUUUUUAACUUCCUAGGAUAGACUUAUAUAAGUACUUUCCCAUCAGAAAUAAAAUUGUUAUACCAUUUUC